rnacentral:lncRNA from 1 species
AUCAUCUCUACCUAGGCCUUAUGUUGGAAGCCUUCUUUAAGUUGUUAAUGGUCUAAGAUGUGAUGAAAGAAUAGAUGUCAUGCCCAAACUUGUAUGGUGUUGUCUUGACAUGGGUACAUCAAGGGAGUUGAUACCAUAACAGCUGUGGUCGUUAUCGAAUGUGAAAAGAUGAAGUGCAAAGUUGAAAGGAUUAUUGUGGAGAAAAAGUAUUAUCAGGUAGAGUUUGAAGGUUUGAAUGGUGGAACUUGGGUAUCGGUAACAGAGAGGAGCCGAGGUUUCGUAGUUUCAAUAGGAUUUGACAUGGAGGAGCUGGUUUGGUUGAUGGAGCAUUUGAAGAAAGCUGUGGAGGUGGAGGCUUCUAGGGGUUUUGUAAGAAAGAUCAGGGGCAAGACUAAGACCCUCUUGAUGGAGAUAUGCUUCAAUAACAGAGGGAGGUUCAUGAAAAUUACAGAAUUUGUUACAAAAAGGAAACCUUUAGUACUUGUCGUCCCCGAGGGCGUCAAAGGGAAAGGAUGGGAAGAUCUCAGGAAGGCGAUCCUAUCAGUGCAAGAGUAUUAUGAACGAGACGGAGGAGCUUCGAAGGAGAAGAAUGGUGAUAUCCGGAUGAAUAGGGACACUUUCAGAGGAGGAAGGUCAUACGCAGAAGUGGUGGUAGAGGCUGGUUUGAGGACUGGAGGUACGUUGUCAGCUGGAAAAUGGGCCAGAGCUGUAAUAUGUGAAAGCCAAGAAGAAGUCCAAGACUGGACUCACGAAGGAAGAGCCAUUGCGAGGAUGAUGGGGAUGAAAGGAAUGGUGUCCAUAAAUCCCAUUUCCGCUUUCAAAGGAUGCUUCUUUGUGAGUACAACAAGGAGAGCGGAAAGUGUUCAUGAUCAGGGAAGAAUUUCAGUGAAAGGAAGGACGAUUCUGCUAAGGAAAUGGUCGCCCAAGGAAAACAUGGUGGUUCAAGGAAAGUUCAGGAGGGGCUGGCUAGUAUUGAGAGGUCUCCCUUUCCAUUUGUGGGAUGAAGUUCAGUUGAAUUUCAUUUUGAAGAAAUGGGGGAGGGUAACGAAGGUGGCAAAGGAAACUUUGAAGCUGGUGGACCUGACGAGGGCGAAGCUGUGGGUGGAGAUGCUUCCAAACGUCGUGUUACCAGCGUUGCUUGAGGUGGAAGAUGGGGAAUGGUCCUAUACAGUAGCAGUUUCAGUCACCGGAGAAGAUGAAGAUGCUGACGUUGUCAUGUCUGAGGUAAACCGCAACAGGAACGAGUGGGUGAGAGUGGGAGGUUGCGUCUCUCAGUCGUCAAAAGCUGCAGAAGGGCUACGAGGUAGCGUUAGGGACAUUGAGUGCUACAGUAAGAGGCGUCUUCCCCGGGCACGUUAUCGGCAGUCAAGGACGUGUUUGGCGGACAAAGGGGAGACAGGAGGGAGAUGGAGCAGAUCGGGCCAAGCUGAAGCAAAUUUUAUUGGGCCAGAGCAUGAGUCCUCUUUUAUAGCCCAAAAGGUUAGGGCCCAAAGUGGGAUGAGGCAUCGUGGGCUUCAAGAUGGCCCAGAUGAUCCUCAAGCCCACCAGUCUGCAUCGGCUUCGCCCCUUUCUCCCCAGUGAGCUGCUUCUUCUACAAAGGCGAUCGCGACGCUCUGUCCAGACGGUGCAAGGGCCGGCGCCGAGGUUUUCUUCGGAGAAGAAGGUCGGGCCGUUGAGCUAAAGGCCCAGUCCCUUCCCAACUCUAGGCCAUUGUCAGACAACAUCGUGGGCUGUAACUUUAAAAGCCCGUCGGGGUUGGGCCAAAAAUUAGGAGGAACGAAGCCCUCUGGUAUGGAAGCAUGGUCGCGAAGGGAAGAAAUCGAAGCGAGGAAGGGGAAAGCCCCCGCGGUUCACAUGAGAGACACUACGCAGGAGAAAGAGACGGCAAUUUCAAAGAAGGCGUGGUCUACCCUCUUCCCUCCAAGCGCCGAUCGACGACAGGGACAUCGGUGCUGCAGUGAGCCUAUUUUCACAAGGGGUUCGUCGUCGUCAAGGGAAGACCGCAACAUGGAAGAGGAGUUUGGGAUGGGCUUUCAGAUGGAGCGAGGAAUCAGAGUGAAUCCUCUCUCCAGAUGUCCUCUUUCUGGUAAGCUUUCGAAGGAGGACACCUCGACGAGCAGCGUUGAAGUCAAAGGAGGGCUAAUGGGACGAGUGGGGUUUGAUCCUCGUGGCUUUUCAGACAUGGGCUCACCUUCUAUUUCAAUAAUCAGAGGUAAAGGACUCAUCUUUGAGGGGUUUUGCGAAAUUCCGGGAGCCAAAAACUUGGAGGUAUGUCAGCCCUCUCCUUCUCAGCCACCCGAGUCACUUUCUUUUCCUUCCUGUAGUCCGGAUUCUCCUUUGACGAAUCCCUCUGGUCCAAUUCUUCCCAAUUCAGUCCCUCUUCCUCAGUCUCCUACGGAAAACCAAGGCAUCUCAAAAUUUUUUUAUGAAAAAGGUGGUGUUGACAAUUUAAAUCAUGGUGACAUACCUGACCGUGUUGAGGAGGAGAACCAGUGUGCUUUAUCUAACCAGACGUCAGAGAGCUGUAUCCCUAAGGAUUCUAUUGUCAGGUCGCAUAAGGAGGUUUCGGGUGAUUUCCUUUUUGAUGGCCUGUCUCCCGGGAAAAUGGCCAAAGUGCAAGAGGUAUUAUGCUCUCUAGACAUUAAGGUGUAUUCUAGGAGGAAGAGCAGAGGCCCCACAGGGCAUUGAGACAUGUUGGUUUUAGCUCGGAAGGCUAGGGUCUUUGUAUUUUCCCAUGAAAAUUAUCAGCUGGAACGUUAGGGGUUUGGGUUCAAGGAAUAAGCGUAGGAUGGUUAAAGAUUUUCUUAGGUCAGAGAAUCCGGAUGUUGUGAUGAUUCAGGAAACAAAAAAGGAGAUUUGUGAUAGAAGGUUUGUGGGUAGUGUCUGGACGGUCAGGAAUGAGGAGUGGGUUGCUCUUCCGGCGUCUGGGGCAUCAGGUGGGAUUUUGAUCAUCUGGGAUUCAAAAAUUAUGAGUAGAGAGGAGGUGGUAAUAGGAUCUUUCUCGGUCUCAGUCAAGUUCUCUUUGGACGGUUGUGGACCCCUUUGGAUUUCUGCUGUUUAUGGUCCAAACAGUCCCUCACUUAGGAAGGAUUUUUGGGUGGAACUUUUUGACAUUUAUGGAUUAACUUAUCCGCUAUGGUGUGUGGGAGGUGAUUUUAAUGUCAUAAGGAGAAGCUCAGAAAAAAUGGGGGGUUCUAGCCUUACUCCAAGCAUGAGGGACUUUGAUAGUUUUAUUAGUGAAUGUGAAUUACUUGACCCACCUCUUCGGAAUGCUUCAUUCACUUGGUCAAAUAUGCAAGAGUCUCCCGUGUGUAAGAGAUUGGACCGUUUUCUCUACUCAAAUGCGUGGGGCUGCUCUUUCCCCAAGGCCUUCAAGAAGCCUUAAUCAGAAGGACAUCAGAUCAUUGGCCAAUUGUUAUGGAUACUAACCCGUUUAUGUGGGGGCCAACACCUUUUAGGUUUGAGAAUAUGUGGUUACAACACACUAAUUUCAAGGAGAACUUUAGAGAUUGGUGGAGUGGGUUUCAAGGAAACGGAUGGGAAGGUCAUAAGUUCAUGAGGAGACUUCAAUAUGUUAAAGCUAAACUGAAGGAGUGGAAUAAGUUUUCUUUUGGAGAGCUUAAAGAAAAGAAAAAAAGUAUUCUCAAUGAUUUAGCUAUCUUUGACGCCAUUGAGCAGGAAGGGGGUCUCAAUCCUGAUUUGAUAAGUCAAAGAGCCUCAAGAAAAGGGGAGCUAGAGGUAUUAAUAUUGAGGGAGGAAAUACAUUGGAGACAAAAAACCAAAGUGAAAUGGGUCAAGGAAGGGGAUUGCAACUCUAAGUUUUAUCAUAAAGUGGCUAAUGGCAGGCGAAAUAGGAAAUAUAUCAAGGAGUUGGAGAAUGAGAGGGGUUUAGUGCUGAAGAAUGCCGAGAGUAUCACAGAGGAGAUUUUACAUUACUUUGAGAAGCUUUACACAAAUCCUACAGGAGAGUCUUGGGGUGUUGAAGGAUUAGAUUGGUCCCCUAUCUCGGAAGAGAGUGCGUUAAGGUUAGAAUCCCCUUUCACCGAAGAAGAGAUUUCUAAGGCCAUUUUUCAGUUGGAUAGGGACAAGGCUUCGGGGCCAGAUGGCUUUACUAUUGCCGUAUUCCAAGAGUGUUGGGAUGUGAUUAAGGAGGAUUUGGUGAGAGUGUUCGCUGAAUUUCAUAGGAGCGGAAUUAUCAAUCAAAGCACUAAUGCCUCUUUCAUUGUUCUAAUACCCAAAAAGAGUUUAUCAAAGAGAAUAUCAGACUUUAGACCCAUUAGUUUGAUCACUAGUCUCUACAAGAUAAUAGCCAAAGUGCUCUCUGGGCGUCUAAGAGGGGUUCUAUAUGAGACCAUCCACUAUACUCAAGGCGCUUUUGUUCAAGGGAGACAAAUAUUGGACGCGGUUCUUAUAGCGAAUGAGAUAGUGGAUGAGAGAAGAAGGUCAGGGGAGGAAGGCGUCGUAUUCAAAAUAGACUUUGAAAAGGCAUACGAUCACGUGAAGUGGGAUUUUUUGGAUCAUGUGUUAGAAAAGAAGGGGUUCAGUCCUAGAUGGAGGAAAUGGAUGAGUGGAUGUUUAUCUUCAGUAUCUUAUGCAAUCUUGGUGAAUGGUAGUGCUAAAGGGUGGGUUCAGGCAUCUAGGGGAUUAAGACAAGGCGACCCUUUAUCCCCUUUUUUGUUUACUUUAGUCGCAGAUGUACUGAGCAGGAUGCUCAUGAGAGCUGAGGAAAGAAAUUUGAUGGAGGGUUUCAGGGUGGGUAGAAAUAGAACUAGGGUGUCCCAUUUGCAAUUUGCUGAUGACACCAUAUUCUUUUCUAACUCAAGGGAGGAAGAGCUGCAUACUCUGAAGAGUCUUUUGUUAGUGUUUGGGCACAUUUCUGGGCUCAAGGUCAAUCUUAACAAGAGUAGUAUUUAUGGCAUCAAUCUUGAUCAGGCUCAUCUUUCAAGAUUGGCUGAGAUGCUUGAUUGUAAGGCGUCUGGAUGGCCUAUUCUAUAUCUGGGUCUCCCUCUGGGCGGGAAUCCUAAGGCGUGUGGUUUUUGGGAUCCAGUGGUUGAGAGAAUCUCAAGUAGAUUAGAUGGGUGGCAAAAGGCCUACUUAUCCUUCGGGGGGAGGAUAACUCUUAUCCAAUCUUGUCUUUCCCAUUUGCCAAGUUACUUCCUAUCCUUAUUUAAAAUGCCCGCUUCAGUGGCUGCAAAAAUAGAGAGGUUGCAAAGGGAUUUUUUAUGGUUAGGGGUUGGGGAAGGCAAAAGGGAUCAUUUAGUGAGGUGGGAUAUUGUGUGCAAACCGAAGACAAUAGGGGGUUUGGGUUUGGGGAAUAUUUCUUGGAGGAAUCUCGCUCUUCUAGGGAAAUGGUUAUGGAGGUAUCCUAGAGAGGGUUCAGCUCUUUGGCAUCAGGUCAUUUUAAGCAUUUAUGGUUCACACUCUAAUGGUUGGGAUGCUAACACUUUAGUCAGAUGGUCACAUCGCUGUCCUUGGAAGGCUAUUGCUCAAGUCUUUUAGGAGUUUUCUUUGAUUACUCGGUAUGUGGUAGGAAACGGGGAUAGAAUUCGGUUCUGGGAAGAUUUGUGGCGGGGGGACCAACCUUUGGGAAUCCAAUAUCCAAGACUAUUCAGAGUAGUCGUGGACAAAAACAUUUCUAUUUCUUCAGUUCUCGGUCCAUCUCGGCCUUUCUUGUGGAAUUUGAAUUUCCGCCUUAACCUGUCAGAUUCUGAGAUUGAGGACUUAGAAGGCCUCAUGCGGUCUCUUGAUGAUUUGUAUCUUUCUCCUUCGGUCCCAGAUGCCAGAUUAUGACCAUUAUCCUCUUCAGGGCUUUUUUCAGUCAAAUCCUUUUUUCUAGCAUUAUCUCAAUCUUCUGGAUCUUCUCAGAACUUUCCUUCAAAGUUCGUGUGGAAUUCCCAAGUUCCUUUCAAAGUGAAGUCCUUUGUCUGGUUAGUGGUACACAAGAAGGUGAAUACUAAUGAUAUGUUACAAGUGAGGAGACCCUACAAAGCCCUUAGUCCUAAUAUUUGUAUCCUGUGCAUGAAGCACGGGGAAUCAACAGAUCAUCUAUUUCUUCAUUGUUCCUUGACGAUUGGGUUGUGGCACAGGUUAUUUCAGUUAGCUAAGAUGGAUUGGGUUCCCCCAAGGAGCAUAUAUGACAUGAUGUCCAUCAAAUUUAAAGGCUUCGGUAAUUCUAAGAGAGGGAUAGUUUUGUGGCAAGCUGCGAGCAUAGCUCUAAUUCGGGUUGAGUGGUGGGAAAGAAACGCAAGGAUUUUCGAGGAUAAAGCAAGGAAUUCAGAGGUCCUUGCUUCCCUUUGGGCUUUCUGUUCCAAGGCAUUUAAGGGGAUUCCCCUUAAUGUGAUUCAUCUGGAUUGGAUAGCGGUGUGUACUCCAUAGGGAUUGGUCCUUAGUGGGUGUUCGUUUGUUUUAUGUGUAUUUUCCUGUAAUUUAGUUGUCUUUGGUUGGAGGAUUUCUCAUCCUUCUUCUUGUACUUCUUUUUUAUAUUAAUAUAUAUUUGUGGCGUUUCCAAUCAAAAAAAAAAAAAAAAAAAGAUGUGAUGAAAGAGAGAUUCCACAAAAGGCUUGCCUUGUGAAGAUGCACCUAUUAAAGAGAGGUAGGCUCACAUCACAUUGAUUAUGAGCAAUUUUGUCUAGCUUGCCAAUAUAUUUUUUCUUCAUUUGUUUCUUCCCAAAUUGUUUAGGAAACCUAGGUCCCUGGGAAUCUUGGUGUGAUUGGUUAAUGUUUAUUACUUGUUUUUCUUUUGACAAUAGUUCGGAACUAGAAACUAUCCUAAAGUAGUGGGUGAUUGUACAUCAUAUUUAUCAAAAUGAUGAUUUUUAAGGAUAGAUGGAGGAUUUUGGAAGCAA